rnacentral:lncRNA from 1 species
AUGUCACAACAAGAUUUUCAGCCCUGGUGCUGGUCUCCACUGCAACUUUCCUCUCCUUACUUGCUUGAGCACAGUGCUGAAGACCAGACAGUGGCUCUCCAGGCAUAUAUGUAUCUGGGUGAUGUUGUGCAGCAAGUGACAGUGUCUAGGAAACAUCCCCAGAACAUCACAAAAAUAUCUGCGCUCCUGAUUUGGGGAGAGGAUGUGCUGCAUGGCCCAGAGGAAGCUCACGAGCAUCUCUCACCUGAGGAACCAGCCACCAAAUCUGUUGACAGUUUACAUGGUACACAGGAGGCAACUCUGCCCUGGGCAGGCCAGGAAAGAUGCUGGGCUCUACAGCUUCCUUUUCUGUUGACUGGCAAGAUGGUGCUUUGUCAGUUCUUUGGGCUCCAUGAGCACGAGCUUGUUCAGACACGACUCCUGGGGACAGAACUGCUGGCUGGAUUGCUGGACACACCAACAGCAAAGGGAAAUGUUCUCCUCCUUAAUCCAUACACGAGGCGGUAA